rnacentral:lncRNA from 1 species
GUCAGUUAGGCCCUGAUAGCACUCCGGCAGGUUAGGCUCUGGUUAACUAGCUUCCCCUGGGUGCAGGCCUUGUUAAGUGGAACAGCGCAUUCUGGCCUAUUUAAAAGUGGUUCCUUUCCCCCUCCCCCUGCCAGGGCAAAGUGAAUUUUCACGCCGUUUACUACAGGAACGUGGUCGAGCUCCUGGAGGUAUAGGUAACCUCAGUACACAGACAGAUUAUGUGACCUCUCAGUCUGUGGCAAUCCUGGAGAACCUUCUGCAGGCCUUCCCGACAGUGAAAUGCCUAACUGUGCUUUUCCCUGGAGUUUUCACCAUCAAGUUUCCUUACCUGUAGAAAAGAGAUGAUAAUAAUGUUUGCCUUGUCAGAUUACACAGACAAUUAAAUGACCAAAUGGAGCAACAGUGUACGGCACAUGGUCUCCAAAAUGGUAGCUGAAGCUGAUCUAGGGGAUAACACCCUCUUUCUACAACUCCUUCUUCCAAGGGAAGGAUUUGCCCGGAGCUAACAUCUGUUGCCAAUCUUUCCUCUUUUUUUUUCCCUUCUCCCCAAAGCUCCAAGCAUGAUUCUGAUCCUAGUUGUAAGUCCCUCUAGUUCUAUGUGAGCUGCUGCCACAGCAUGGCGACUGACAGACAAGUGGUGUGGUUCCAUGACCGGGAUGCUAACCCAGGCUGCCGGAACAGACAGUGUGAAAUUUAACCACUAGACCAUCAGGGCUGGCUCAAUAUAUCUCUACUUCUAAUGUUUAAUUACUACUAUCUAUUUCUUUUUACUAACUAUUGUUAGAUUUUACAGCAGAAAUUGCUGGCCUUAAAAAUUAAUGGUAAUAACUGGUUUCAUGUUAACAUAAAAACUAACACACUAACCUGAUAGGCAACUUUUUGGCCUUCUGGUAGCCUUAUAUAAACACAGACUUGUUUUUUUCUUACAUAUCGGUGUGUAGUAUCAUUAAAUGCUUGGAGAAACUGGUGAAAUCCUAAUAAGGUCUGGAGUUUAGUUAAUAAUAAUGUCCUAAAAUUGGUUUCUUAGUUUUGAUGAAUGAACCAUGACCAGGUAAUAUGGCAACAUUAGGAGG